rnacentral:rRNA from 1 species
GACGAACGCUGGCGGCGUGCUUAACACAUGCAAGUCGAACGGAAAGGCCCUUCGGGGUACUCGAGUGGCGAACGGGUGAGUAACACGUGGGUGAUCUGCCCUGCACUUUGGGAUAAGCCUGGGAAACUGGGUCUAAUACCGAAUAGGACCACGCGCUUCAUGGUGUGUGGUGGAAAGCUUUUGCGGUGUGGGAUGGGCCCGCGGCCUAUCAGCUUGUUGGUGGGGUAAUGGCCUACCAAGGCGACGACGGGUAGCCGGCCUGAGAGGGUGACCGGCCACACUGGGACUGAGAUACGGCCCAGGCUCCUACGGGAGGCAGCAGUGGGGAAUAUUGCACAAUGGGCGCAAGCCUGAUGCAGCGACACCGCGUGAGGGAUGACGGCCUUCGGGUUGUAAACCUCUUUCAAUAGGGACGAAGCGUGAGUGACGGUACCUAUAGAAGAAGCACCGGCCAACUACGUGCCAGCAGCCGCGGUAAUACGUAGGGUGCGAGCGUUGUCCGGAAUUACUGGGCGUAAAGAGCUCGUAGGUGGUUUGUCGCGUUGUUCGUGAAAACUCACAGCUUAACUGUGGGCGUGCGGGCGAUACGGGCAGACUAGAGUACUGCAGGGGAGACUGGAAUUCCUGGUGUAGCGGUGGAAUGCGCAGAUAUCAGGAGGAACACCGGUGGCGAAGGCGGGUCUCUGGGCAGUAACUGACGCUGAGGAGCGAAAGCGUGGGGAGCGAACAGGAUUAGAUACCCUGGUAGUCCACGCCGUAAACGGUGGGUACUAGGUGUGGGUUCCUUCCUUGGGAUCCGUGCCGUAGCUAACGCAUUAAGUACCCCGCCUGGGGAGUACGGCCGCAAGGCUAAAACUCAAAGGAAUUGACGGGGGCCCGCACAAGCGGCGGAGCAUGUGGAUUAAUUCGAUGCAACGCGAAGAACCUUACCUGGGUUUGACAUGCACAGGACGCCGGCAGAGAUGUCGGUUCCCUUGUGGCCUGUGUGCAGGUGGUGCAUGGCUGUCGUCAGCUCGUGUCGUGAGAUGUUGGGUUAAGUCCCGCAACGAGCGCAACCCUUGUCCUAUGUUGCCAGCGGGUUAUGCCGGGGACUCGUAGGAGACUGCCGGGGUCAACUCGGAGGAAGGUGGGGAUGACGUCAAGUCAUCAUGCCCCUUAUGUCCAGGGCUUCACACAUGCUACAAUGGCCGGUACAAAGGGCUGCGAUGCCGUGAGGUGGAGCGAAUCCUUUCAAAGCCGGUCUCAGUUCGGAUCGGGGUCUGCAACUCGACCCCGUGAAGUCGGAGUCGCUAGUAAUCGCAGAUCAGCAACGCUGCGGUGAAUACGUUCCCGGGCCU